rnacentral:rRNA from 1 species
UGGGGAAUCUUGGACAAUGGGCGCAAGCCUGAUCCAGCCAUGCCGCGUGGAUGAUGAAGGCCUUAGGGUUGUAAAAUCCUUUCGCCGAGGACGAUAAUGACGGUACUCGGAGAAGAAGCUCCGGCUAACUUCGUGCCAGCAGCCGCGGUAAUACAGAGGGUGCAAGCGUUAAUCGGAAUUACUGGGCGUAAAGCGCGUGUAGGCGGGUUGGAAAGUUGGGGGUGAAAUCCCGAGGCUCAACCUCGGAACUGCCUCCAAAACUUCCAGCCUGGACUCAAGUAGAGGCAAGUGGAAUUGCGAGUGUAGAGGUGAAAUUCGUAGAUAUUCGCAGGAACACCAGUGGCGAAGGCGACUUGCUGGACUUGUAGUGACGCUGAGACGCGAAAGCGUGGGGAGCAAACAGGAUUAGAUACCCCUGUAGUCCCUGAGCGGGCUGGCAAGGCGCAU